AGAAGUUUAGGUUAAACCAGACCAAGAGCCUUCAAAGCUCUAAGCAAGCCUUAUAGACUUAACUUCUG
rnacentral:tRNA from 1 species